rnacentral:lncRNA from 1 species
UAUCUGCGAUCCUCCAGAAUACUUGGAAAAACUCGAAAUACAGAUCAAACACUCGAACCUCGCAAUUUGCGAAGAUCCAGUGUAUUACAAUAUACAUGGCUUUCACGAGGGCAAGCAAUAGCCAAAAGUGAAAGUUCUAUACUAAACAUCCAUACAAGUACUAUGAUUCAUUUUAAUCACAUACAUGCAUAUACACAUUUACAUUCUUUCAUUCUUAUCAUUUUAUACAUCAUAAGCUCUCAAAAAUACAUAGCAUUUCUUUCAUCCAAAACAUAAGCUUUUACAUGUAA